rnacentral:misc_RNA from 1 species
AGCAGCCGCGGUAAUUCCAGCUCCAAUAGCGUAUAUUAAAGUUGCUGCAGUUAAAAGCUCGUAGUUGAAUUUCGGGACUAAUAUGUCGGUCGUGCCUCGGUACGUACUGGUUUAUUGGUUUCUCCUUUCUGAAGAACCAUGAUGUCAUUUAUUUGGUGUCGUGGGGAAUCAGGACUGUUACUUUGAAAAAUUAGAGUGUUUAAAGCAGGCUCACGCUUGAAUACAUUAGCAUGGAAUAAUGAAAUAGGACGUUUGAUUCUAUUUUGUUGGUUUCUAGGAUCGACGUAAUGAUUAAUAGGGAUAGUUGGGGGCAUUAGUAUUCAAUUGUCAGAGGUGAAAUUCUUGGAUUUAUUGAAGACUAACUACUGCGAAAGCAUUUGCCAAGGAUGUUUUCAUUAAUCAAGAACGAAAGUUAGGGAUCGAAGACGAUCAGAUACCGUCGUAGUCUUAACCAUAAACUAUGCCGACUAGGGAUCGGAUGAUGUUUAAUUUUUAAUGACUCAUUCGGCGCCUUACGGGU